AACGAACGCUGGCGGCAGGCCUAAUACAUGCAAGUCGAGGGGCCCGUAAGGGCACCGGCGCACGGGUGCAUAACGCGUGGGAAUAUACCCUUCACUACGGAACAACGUCGGGAAACUGACGCUAAUACCGUAUGAUGACUCCGGUCCAAAGAUUUAUCGGUGAAGGAUUAGCCCGCGUCUGAUUAGCUAGUUGGUGAAGUAACGGCUCACCAAGGCGACGAUCAGUAGCUGGUCUGAGAGGAUGAUCAGCCACACUGGGACUGAGACACGGCCCAGACUCCUACGGGAGGCAGCAGUAAGGAAUAUUGGACAAUGGAGGAAACUCUGAUCCAGCCAUGCCGCGUGAGUGAAGAAGGCCUUCGGGUUGUAAAGCUCUUUUAAUCGUGAAGAUAAUGACGGUAGCGAUAGAAAAAGCUCCGGCUAAAUUCGUGCCAGCAGCCGCCGUAA
rnacentral:rRNA from 1 species